ACGGUAACAGGGGAGCUUGCUCCCGCUGACGAGUGGCGAACGGGUGAGUAAUGCAUCGGAACGUGCCGAAUAGUGGGGGAUAACGCACCGAAAGGUGUGCUAAUACCGCAUACGCCCUGAGGGGGAAAGUGGGGGACCGCAAGGCCUCACGCUAAUUGAGCGGCCGAUGUCGGAUUAGCUAGUUGGUGGGGUAAAGGCUCACCAAGGCGACGAUCCGUAGCGGGUCUGAGAGGAUGAUCCGCCACACUGGGACUGAGACACGGCCCAGACUCCUACGGGAGGCAGCAGUGGGGAAUUUUGGACAAUGGGGGAAACCCUGAUCCAGCCAUGCCGCGUGUCUGAAGAAGGCCUUCGGGUUGUAAAGGACUUUUGUCCGGGAGGAAACCCUGAUCGUUAAUAGCGGUCGGGACUGACAGUACCGGAAGAAUAAGCACCGGCUAACUACGUGCCAGCAGCCGCGGUAAUACGUAGGGUGCAAGCGUUAAUCGGAAUUACUGGGCGUAAAGCGUGCGCAGGCGGUGAGAUAAGUCAGCUGUGAAAGCCCCGGGCUCAACCUGGGAACUGCGGCCGAAACUGUCUCGCUAGAGUACGUCAGAGGGGGGUGGAAUUCCACGUGUAGCAGUGAAAUGCGUAGAGAUGUGGAG
rnacentral:rRNA from 1 species